rnacentral:rRNA from 1 species
UACGUAGGGGGCUAGCGUUGUCCGGAUUUAUUGGGCGUAAAGAGCGUGUAGGCGGCCAGGUAGGUCUGCUGUGAAAACUCGAGGCUCAACCUCGAGACGUCGGCGGAAACCAUCUGGCUAGAGUCCGGAAGAGGAGAGUGGAAUUCCUGGUGUAGCAGUGAAAUGCGUAGAUAUCAGGAGGAACACCGAUGGCGAAGGCAGGUCUCUGGGCUGACACUGACGCUCAUGCACGAAAGCGUGGGGAGCAAACAGG